rnacentral:rRNA from 1 species
GACGAACGCUGGCGGCGUGCUUAACACAUGCCAGUCGAACGGUGAAGCGCUUUCCUUUUUGGUUGGUGUGGAUGAGUGGCGAACGGGUGAGUAACACGUGAGUAACCUGCCCCCUUCUUCUGGAUAACCGCAUGAAAGUGUGGCUAAUACGGGAUAUUCUGCGCCUGCUGCAUGGUGGGUGUGGGAAAGAUUGUGCCUUUGGGUGUUUUCGGUGGGGGAUGGGCUCGCGGCCUAUCAGCUUGUUGGUGGGGUGAUGGCCUACCAAGGCGGUGACGGGUAGCCGGCCUGAGAGGGUGGACGGUCACACUGGGACUGAGACACGGCCCAGACUCCUACGGGAGGCAGCAGUGGGGAAUAUUGCACAAUGGGCGCAAGCCUGAUGCAGCGACGCCGCGUGAGGGAUGGAGGCCUUCGGGUUGUGAACCUCUUUCGCCAGUGAAGCAGGCCUGCUCCUUGUGGGUGGGUUGACGGUAGCUGGAUAAGAAGCGCCGGCUAACUACGUG